rnacentral:rRNA from 1 species
AUACGGAGGGUGCAAGCGUUACUCGGAAUGACUGGGCGUAAAGCGCGCGCAGGCGGUCUUUUAAGUUGGAUGUGAAAGCCUACGGCUCAACCGUAGAACUGCAUCCAAAACUAUUAGACUAGAGUGUGGGAGAGGAAGAUGGAAUUAGUUGUGUAGGGGUAAAAUCCGUAGAGAUAACUAGGAAUACCAAAAGCGAAGGCAAUCUUCUGGAACACUACUGACGCUGAGGCGCGAAAGCGUGGGGAGCAAACAGGAUUAGAUACCCCAGUAGUCC